UUGAGAAAUAGUCGCUCGAGAGAUUUCGAUCUGUAACAAUUUCAGCUCCCAACUGAUAUUCAAAAUGAUGUUCUUCAAGCUGGCAUCUCAUUUUCUUGUACUUCUUACUUUACGAAAUGCUGAUGUAUUGGCAGAGCAGAAUCGCUUUUUACAUAUAAAUGUACCAGACGCAACAAUCCACAAUGGUGGCAUAUACAUAGAUUGGGAUCGUAAAUAAAUUAGAUGCUUGCCGACUGUAUAAAAAGAAGCUUCUAUAAGUAAAUUAAGAUAUUGCAAUGUGAAAUUUUGCGAGGCUUGCUUUUUUUUCAUUGUCUACUAGAAAAUCUUGAGAUAUGGGCCGUAACACCGUUUAACGGUUGAUAAUGAAUACUUAUUGCUAUUUAAGAAGGGUCCAGGGGAAUACUGAGAGACGAAACAGCUCUAAUAAAUAUUUUCACACAUUUAAGCAUGAUAAUUAGGUAAUAAGACAAUUUCUUAACAUAUUGAAGAAUAACGCAUCGAAGUAUAAGAAACAGUCUUUCAAGCGAUUUGAAACUGUGACAACUUCAGCUCUUAGCUAAUUAAAAUGAAAUUCUUCAAGUUGAAGCCCCAUUUUCUCAUAUUCCUUGCUUUACGCAACACUGAAAUAGUAGUAAGCCAAUUUCGCUUUUUAGAUUUAACCGUACCCAUCUUUACAGUCAACGUCGGUGGUAUACACGUAGGCUAAGCUAAUAAGUUAUUUGCAUGGAAUUGUAAAAAACUAGGCUUCGAUAAUAAAAUAUAUAGUUUUUCUAUGUAACAUUA
rnacentral:sRNA from 1 species